GUCAAAAUGUAUUGUAAACCAACAUGGUUAAUUGACUGACCCAUUAUUCUGAUCUCUAUUAUUUAAACUGUAGUCAAUGUAGAAAACGGUUAGUUUCAUCUCACGUGUGAGGAGCAAGAAAGAGACACUUCGAAGAAACCUAAGCUCGUUCUCUUUAUGGUCUCUCCACUUUCUUUUUCCCGGCUUCUAUGGAUCUUUGUUUUUCACUUUUUUUUCUUUUCCAAAUUUCACUUAAAUGCCACUGACAAUGACAAUAUACAUUGAUUCGUUUCCAUGGCUCUAUAAAGAAAGUGGGAAUACUAUUAAGGGUGAAACUAAACAUAUGAAGUAGUCACAACUAACUGGCCGCAUGUGAUUUGACUCUUCUGUCUCUUCUAACCACGAUCACUUUUCUCAAACACACUUCACCUAUCCUUUCACUAAUCUCUC
rnacentral:lncRNA from 1 species